GCGACCGUUGAAUGUGGAGUCAUCAGUGGGAUGGCAAUGGCUGAGAAAAACCUCCUCCUCCUGUACAGAAUCAGAAUACGAAUUCCCAUACGCACCCAAUUUCCCUGCUCGUGACGCAACUAUCUUCUCCAAUACCUUCCUCUUCUUGCAUAAGGGUAAACCUCUAAAGCUUCUUCUUCUUCUUCUCUCUCCCUACGCAUUUGCUUUCGAUGGACGAGGUCAUGACGGGCUCUGACGCAUCAUCAAGCUUUCGAUCAACAUCAUCUCAGCCCUCCGUUUUUCCCUCCAACACCCCUCUCCUCUCUGCUUUCCUUGCCUUCGCUCUCGCUCAGUUUCUUAAGCUCUUCACCACCUGGUACCUCUCUUUUUCUGUCCUUUAUAUUUAUUGUCCUGUAAAAUUUUCGUUUGCUUGGUUUUACUGGAUUCUUCGAUUAGUGGUGUACUUGAUAAAAUAAUGCUAUUGGGUCUUUAUUUUUGGGUUGAUUUAAUGGGUGUUGCUCUUAUUUAUGUAUGCCCUUACUCCCCGUGUGAGCAAUGUUAGGAAAUUCUGUGCCCAUUCUAUGUUUUAGCUAUUAUAAGGAUAUAAUGUUCUUCUUGAAUAGCAUUAAUGGGCCAAGAAAGUCAAUGAAUUUGAAGUUUGAAAGCUUGUGCAUGUUGUCUAUAUAAAAAACCUAAGUUAAAAUGUUAAUUAUAUUUCUGCAAGUAGUUACAAAUUGUUGCUAUUUUUAUUUUGUUGCACUUCAAAUUAAACCACACAUUUAGGUAUGCCAGUGAUAAAGAGCGACUGCAUACAAGUAGAGAGGAUAGAAAGGGGAAAAAAUUCGCCGAAGAAGACCAGGGGUAAAAGUUAUAAGCAAGUAUUUGAUUUCUCAAUAAAAUCUCUCAAAGUAUGACUCGAGAGAGCUGAAGGGAGGGAAAGAAUUCACGUAGAUGACCUCAGUUACUAUGGGAUUAAAGAUUAUAUGAGUUUUUCUGAGCCCUUUGCAUUAAUAAAGUAAAGAGCUUUAGUAAAGAAGCAAGAUGGUGCUUAGUUUUCCAUCACUUAGAAGAGGUUGAGCAAUUUUGGGAAAGUGGAAUACUGAACAUUGUAUUUAUCUAAUUUUUUGUUAUAUAUCAGCUUGUGCACUUACUAAAACAGAGGAAUAGG
rnacentral:misc_RNA from 1 species